rnacentral:rRNA from 2 species
UCAAGUGAAGAAGCGCAUACGGUGGAUGCCUUGGCAGUCAGAGGCGAUGAAAGACGUGGUAGCCUGCGAAAAGCUUCGGGGAGUCGGCAAACAGACUUUGAUCCGGAGAUGUCUGAAUGGGGGAACCCAGCCAUCAUAAGAUGGUUAUCUUACGCUGAAUACAUAGGCGUAAGAGGCGAACCAGGGGAACUGAAACAUCUAAGUACCCUGAGGAAAAGAAAUCAACCGAGAUUCCCUUAGUAGUGGCGAGCGAACGGGGACUAGCCCUUAAGUGGCUUUGAGAUUAGCGGAACGCUCUGGAAAGUGCGGCCAUAGUGGGUGAUAGCCCUGUACGCGAAAAUCUCUUAGUCAUGAAAUCGAGUAGGACGGAGCACGAGAAACUUUGUCUGAAUAUGGGGGGACCAUCCUCCAAGGCUAAAUACUACUGACUGACCGAUAGUGAACUAGUACCGUGAGGGAAAGGCGAAAAGAACCCCGGAGAGGGGAGUGAAAUAGAUCCUGAAACCGUAUGCGUACAAGCAGUGGGAGCCCACUUUGUUGGGUGACUGCGUACCUUUUGUAUAAUGGGUCAGCGACUUAUUUUCAGUGGCGAGCUUAACCGAAUAGGGGAGGCGUAGCGAAAGCGAGUCUUAAUAGGGCGUCUAGUCGCUGGGAAUAGACCCGAAACCGGGCGAUCUAUCCAUGGGCAGGUUGAAGGUUGGGUAACACUAACUGGAGGACCGAACCGACUACCGUUGAAAAGUUAGCGGAUGACCUGUGGAUCGGAGUGAAAGGCUAAUCAAGCUCGGAGAUAGCUGGUUCUCCUCGAAAGCUAUUUAGGUAGCGCCUCAUGUAUCACUGUAGGGGGUAGAGCACUGUUUCGGCUAGGGGGUCAUCCCGACUUACCAAACCGAUGCAAACUCCGAAUACCUACAAGUGCCGAGCAUGGGAGACACACGGCGGGUGCUAACGUCCGUCGUGAAAAGGGAAACAACCCAGACCGUCAGCUAAGGUCCCAAAGUUAUGGUUAAGUGGGAAACGAUGUGGGAAGGCUUAGACAGCUAGGAGGUUGGCUUAGAAGCAGCCACCCUUUAAAGAAAGCGUAAUAGCUCACUAGUCGAGUCGGCCUGCGCGGAAGAUGUAACGGGGCUCAAACCAUACACCGAAGCUACGGGUAUCACGUAAGUGAUGCGGUAGAGGAGCGUUCUGUAAGCCUGUGAAGGUGAGUUGAGAAGCUUGCUGGAGGUAUCAGAAGUGCGAAUGCUGACAUGAGUAACGACAAUGGGUGUGAAAAACACCCACGCCGAAAGACCAAGGUUUCCUGCGCAACGUUAAUCGACGCAGGGUUAGUCGGUCCCUAAGGCGAGGCUGAAAAGCGUAGUCGAUGGAAAACAGGUUAAUAUUCCUGUACUUCUGGUUAUUGCGAUGGAGGGACGGAGAAGGCUAGGCCAGCUUGGCGUUGGUUGUCCAAGUUUAAGGUGGUAGGCUGGAAUCUUAGGUAAAUCCGGGAUUCUAAGGCCGAGAGCUGAUGACGAGUCAUCUUUUAGAUGACGAAGUGGUUGAUGCCAUGCUUCCAAGAAAAGCUUCUAAGCUUCAGGUAACCAGGAACCGUACCCCAAACCGACACAGGUGGUUGGGUAGAGAAUACCAAGGCGCUUGAGAGAACUCGGGUGAAGGAACUAGGCAAAAUGGCACCGUAACUUCGGGAGAAGGUGCGCCGGUGAGGGUGAAGGACUUGCUCCGUAAGCUCAUGCCGGUCGAAGAUACCAGGCCGCUGCGACUGUUUAUUAAAAACACAGCACUCUGCAAACACGAAAGUGGACGUAUAGGGUGUGACGCCUGCCCGGUGCCGGAAGGUUAAUUGAUGGGGUUAGCUAACGCGAAGCUCUUGAUCGAAGCCCCGGUAAACGGCGGCCGUAACUAUAACGGUCCUAAGGUAGCGAAAUUCCUUGUCGGGUAAGUUCCGACCUGCACGAAUGGCGUAACGAUGGCGGCGCUGUCUCCACCCGAGACUCAGUGAAAUUGAAAUCGCUGUGAAGAUGCAGUGUAUCCGCGGCUAGACGGAAAGACCCCGUGAACCUUUACUAUAGCUUUGCACUGGACUUUGAAUUUGCUUGUGUAGGAUAGGUGGGAGGCUUUGAAGCGUGGACGCCAGUCUGCGUGGAGCCAACCUUGAAAUACCACCCUGGCAACUUUGAGGUUCUAACUCAGGUCCGUUAUCCGGAUCGAGGACAGUGUAUGGUGGGUAGUUUGACUGGGGCGGUCUCCUCCUAAAGAGUAACGGAGGAGUACGAAGGUGCGCUCAGACCGGUCGGAAAUCGGUCGUAGAGUAUAAAGGCAAAAGCGCGCUUGACUGCGAGACAGACACGUCGAGCAGGUACGAAAGUAGGUCUUAGUGAUCCGGUGGUUCUGUAUGGAAGGGCCAUCGCUCAACGGAUAAAAGGUACUCCGGGGAUAACAGGCUGAUACCGCCCAAGAGUUCAUAUCGACGGCGGUGUUUGGCACCUCGAUGUCGGCUCAUCACAUCCUGGGGCUGAAGCCGGUCCCAAGGGUAUGGCUGUUCGCCAUUUAAAGUGGUACGCGAGCUGGGUUUAGAACGUCGUGAGACAGUUCGGUCCCUAUCUGCCGUGGACGUUUGAGAUUUGAGAGGGGCUGCUCCUAGUACGAGAGGACCGGAGUGGACGAACCUCUGGUGUUCCGGUUGUCACGCCAGUGGCAUUGCCGGGUAGCUAUGUUCGGAAUAGAUAACCGCUGAAAGCAUCUAAGCGGGAAACUAGCCUCAAGAUGAGAUCUCACUGGAACCUUGAGUUCCCUGAAGGGCCGUCGAAGACUACGACGUUGAUAGGUUGGGUGUGUAAGCGCUGUGAGGCGUUGAGCUAACCAAUACUAAUUGCCCGUGAGGCUUGAC